rnacentral:rRNA from 1 species
UACGAAGGGGCUAGCGUUGUUCGGAAUUACUGGGCGUAAAGCGCACGUAGGCGGAUCGAUCAGUCAGGGGUGAAAUCCCAGAGCUCAACUCUGGAACUGCCUUUGAUACUGUCGGUCUAGAGUAUGGAAGAGGUGAGUGGAAUUCCGAGUGUAGAGGUGAAAUUCGUAGAUAUUCGGAGGAACACCAGUGGCGAAGGCGGCUCACUGGUCCAUUACUGACGCUGAGGUGCGAAAGCGUGGGGAGCAACAGG